AUUGAACGCUGGCGGCAGGCCUAACACCUGCAAGUCGAGCGAGCGGCGGACGGGUGAGUAAUGUCUGGGAAACUGCCUGAAGGAGGGGGCUAACUACUGGAAACGGUAGCUAAUACCGCAUACCAUCGGAUGUGCCCAGAUGGGGUUAGCGAGGAGGUGGGGUAACGGCUCACCUAGGCGACGAUCCCUAGCUGGUCUGAGAGGAUGACCAGCCACACUGUAACUGGGACACGGGCCAGACUCCUACGGGAGGCAGCAGUGGGGAAUAUUGCACAAUGGGCGCAAGCCUGAUGCAGCCAUGCCGCGUGUAUGAAGAAGGCCUUCGGGUUGUAAAGUACUUUCAGCGGGGAGGCGUUACCCGCAGAAGAAGCACCGGCUAACUCCGUGCCAGCCGCCGCGGUAAUUC
rnacentral:rRNA from 1 species